AUGGCGGAUCAACUGGUGACCAGAGUAGAUCAUGAGGAGAUUACUAUGCCUUAUACCGUGACUCUAGCUGCUUUGACUGAACUUAUGGUAAAUUUAGAAAAUAGGGUGAACAACACCAACAACAAUAAGAAUUUGCGAAGAGACAUGGUGGGACAAGAAGUUAGGGUUAUGCGGGAUGUCAACAAUCAUCAUAGUGUUAUUGCUGAAAAUUUGAGUUCUAAAGAAGAAGAACCUUAUGAGGAAGACGUAGUUGAUCAUGGGAAUUGA